AAACAUGUUUUUUCGAAAAUAAUUUAAAGUUUAAUCUGCCCACUGAUNAAAUUAUUAAAGGGCUGCAGUAUUUUGACUGUACAAAGGUAGCAUAAUCAUUAGUCUCUUAAUUGGUGACUUGUAUGAAAGAUUGGAUGAAAUAUAUACUGUCUCUAUUUAAUCUAUAAAAUUUAAUUUUUUAGUUAAAAAGCUAAAAUAAAUUUAAAAGACGAGAAGACCCUAUAGAGUUUGAUAAUUUAUUUAAUUAUUAUUAAUAUAUAAAUUUAAAAAUUAAAGUUAAAUAAAUUAUUUUAUUGGGGUGAUAGAAAAAUUAAAUUAACUUUUUUUUUAUUUUAUACAUUAAUUUAUGAAUGAAUGAUCCAUUAAUAAUGAUUAAAAGAAAAAAUUACCUUAGGGAUAACAGCGUAAUUUUUUUUUUUAGUUCAAAUAGGAAAAAAAGUUUGCGACCUCGAUGUUGGAUUAAGAUAAAAUUUAAAUGAAAAAGUUUAAAAUUUUAAUCUGUUCGAUCAUUAAAAUCUUA
rnacentral:rRNA from 1 species